GAUGAACGCUGGCGGCGUGCCUAAUACAUGCAAGUCGAGCAAACGGACGAGAAGCUUGCUUCUCUGAUGUUAGCGGCGGACGGGUGAGUAACACGUGGAUAACCUACCUAUAAGACUGGGAUAACUUCGGGAAACCGGAGCUAAUACCGGAUAAUAUUUUGAACCGCAUGGUUCAAAAGUGAAAGACGGUCUUGCUGUCACUUAUAGAUGGAUCCGCGCUGCAUUAGCUAGUUGGUAAGGUAACGGCUUACCAAGGCAACGAUGCAUAGCCGACCUGAGAGGGUGAUCGGCCACACUGGAGCUGAGACACGGUCCAGACUCCUACGGGAGGCAGCAGUAGGGAAUCUUCCGCAAUGGGCGAAAGCCUGACGGAGCAACGCCGCGUGAGUGAUGAAGGUCUUCGGAUCGUAAAACUCUGUUAUUAGGGAAGAACAUAUGUGUAAGUAACUGUGCACAUCUUGACGGUACCUAAUCAGAAAGCCACGGCUAACUACGUG
rnacentral:rRNA from 1 species